UACGAAGGGGGCUAGCGUUGCUCGGAAUCACUGGGCGUAAAGGGUGCGUAGGCGGUUGGGUGUGUCAGAUGUGAAAUCCCGAGGCUUAACCUCGGAACUGCGUCUGAAACUACUCGACUAGAGUACUGGAGAGGGAAACGGAAUUCACGGUGUAGCAGUGAAAUGCGUAGAUAUCGAGAGGAACACCUGCGGCGAAGGCGGGUUGCUGGGCCGACACUGACGCUGAGGCGCGAAAGCCAGGGGAGAGAACGGG
rnacentral:rRNA from 1 species